rnacentral:rRNA from 1 species
AUUGAACACUGGCGGCAGGCCUAACACAUGCAAGUCGAGCGCGAAAGUUCUUCGGAAUGAGUAAAGCGGCGGACGGGUGAGUAAUACAUGGGAAUCUGCCUGGUAGUGGGGGACAACGUUUCGAAAGGAACGCUAAUACCGCAUACGCCCUACGGGGGAAAGGGGGGAUCUUCGGACCUCUCGCUAUCAGAUGAGCCCAU